UUUUAUUCCAAUACCAAUAUUAUAUUAAGAAAUUAAUAUAAUCUAACACCUAUAUUAAUUAAAAGAUAUGAAAAAGAAAUUUCAACCACAACAAGAAAAAUGGGUGGCAAAAGAACUAAUAAAAAGAAACGUCAUGUUGCUGAUGUACCAGUUGAGAAUGCUGCCAAGGUAGUAGACUAUGGCGUUUAUGAAGGCGAAGGUAUUUUUUGGAAAUAAACAUUCUUGGAAAAAUCGGCUCGAAAAGUUGCCCGGGGCACCC